GAUGAACGCUGGCGGCGUGCCUAAUACAUGCAAGUCGAGCGAACGGACGAGAAGCUUGCUCUUCUGAUGCUAGCGGCGGACGGGUGAGUAACACGUGGAUAACCUACCUAUAAGACUGGGAUAACUUCGGGAAACCGGAGCUAAUACCGGAUAAUAUUUCGAACCGCAUGGUUCAAAAGUGAAAGACGGUCUUGCUGUCACUUAUAGAUGGAUCCGCGCUGCAUUAGCUAGUUGGUAAGGUAACGGCUUACCAAGGCAACGAUGCAUAGCCGACCUGAGAGGGUGAUCGGCCACACUGGAACUGAGACACGGUCCAAACUCCUACGGGAGGCAGCAGUAGGGAAUCUUCCGCAAUGGGCGAAAGCCUGACGGAGCAACGCCGCGUGAGUGAUGAAGGUCUUCGGAUCGUAAAACUCUGUUAUUAGGGAAGAACAUGUGUGUGAGUAACUGUUAACAUCUUGACGGUACCUAAUCAGAAAGCCACGGCUAACUACGUG
rnacentral:rRNA from 1 species